rnacentral:rRNA from 1 species
UACGAAGGGGGCAAGCGUUGUUCGGAAUUACUGGGCGUAAAGGGCGCGUAGGCGGUGCACUAAGUCAGGCGUGAAAGCCCUGGGCUCAACCCGGGAAUUGCGCUUGAUACUGGUGCGCUUGAAUCCAGGAGAGGUUGGUGGAAUUCCCAGUGUAGAGGUGAAAUUCGUAGAGAUUGGGAAGAACACCGGUGGCGAAGGCGGCCA